CAGGCCUAACACAUGCAAGUCGAACGGAAAGGCCCGCUUGCGGGUACUCGAGUGGCGAACGGGUGAGUAACACGUGGGCAACCUGCCCUCAGCUCUGGGAUAACUCCGGGAAACCGGUGCUAAUACUGGAUAGGACUUCGCAUCGCAUGGUGUGGGGUGGAAAGUUUUUCGGCUGAGGAUGGGCCCGCGGCCUAUCAGCUUGUUGGUGGGGUGAUGGCCUACCAAGGCGACGACGGGUAGCCGGCCUGAGAGGGCGACCGGCCACACUGGGACUGAGACACGGCCCAGACUCCUACGGGAGGCAGCAGUGGGGAAUAUUGCGCAAUGGGCGCAAGCCUGAUGCAGCAACGCCGCGUGCGGGAUGACGGCCUUCGGGUUGUAAAGCGCUUUCACCGNGUGAAGAUAAUGACGUGAACCGGAGAAGAAGCCCCGGCUAACUUCGUGCCAGCAGCCGCG
rnacentral:rRNA from 1 species